rnacentral:lncRNA from 1 species
UUAGCAGGAGCAGAUAGAACUUUAAAAGAGUUGCUAAAUGAUGUGGCAUCAUCUGAUGGAAUACAAGCGCGUAUGGACGGAGUCAUGUUUGAGAAAUUAGGAGGAGCCGCUUACACCAAUCCCCUGUUUAUGUUGAUAAAAGAUUGCCUCAGUUCCUUCUAAAGUCAAAGGCUGCAUGCUGUUGUAUCAGAAAUAUCUCAUUUUAUUAUUUGCUCAAGCAAAACGUUCAUACAAGGAUCUUACAUUUUGUUGAGGAUGCAGAGUUCGGUUUGUUUACGUAAGGACAUUGGUGUUCCGCUUCCAACUCACAAAGCAAAAAAUCAGGUACUUGCCUCUUUUCCUUGUAUUCAGUAUAUAACUUCUGAUAUGUUUUAGUUUUAAGUCUUGGGUUGGUGAGUAAGUGAAACAAAUGGAUAGGUGGUAAACAAAAGAUUAAAUUUCCUCAAAGAGAUUACCUCCUUAAAGUUGAAAGUGCUAAAAAUAUAUUUGGCACUAUCAAUACUUGUAAAAAAAUUUGAUUCAUUAAAUUAAAUUACAGUUAUUGCAGGUUGGUAUAUAUGAACUCUUGCUGAACUGAAUUCAGGAUGAGCGGUUUCUAGGUUUCAAAUUGCUUAUCUCAACAAGUAUAUGGAGGUACCACACAAAUUGGUAUCUCGACAUUCUGUUAUAUGUAACUACUGUAACUUUGAAACAAUUCCACUUUACUCUCUGUAUGGUUCAUCCUGUCAACAGACAGAUCCAUGGUGCCAACGGCCAUGUACAAAAUACAGAUUUACAAUUUAGAAGUGAAACAUUCUCAUCAUCUCUUUCUCCAACUCCUUUCCUUUGGUAAAUGCAGUAGAAGAAGUAUUGUUGCUUCAAGGCUCAAGCUUUGUGCAUUCAGGUAGAGCUCGGUUUUUAUUUAUUUUUUGUUUCCCACCUGGCACUCGGUAUCUGCAUGGGGCCCGACAAUCCAAAUUCACGCUCGGAAGUCCCAUAUUGGGGAGAUAAAAUGCUCCUUAAUAAAAGGUGAUUUCUUACUUUGGACUGGGCACCCGAGAUCUCUAGUUGAGGAUGAAAGAGUACUUACCACUUCAAUACAAUCCUUGUUGGUGGUAAAGCUCUCAGGGUUAUGAUAUACAAAGUUGGGUACCAACUCUAGCAUAGCUUUAUGAAUUAAUAGAAACUAGUAAGCUUUCAUACAUGACGAAAGAGAACCAUCCUCUCACUCCCUGCUUCACAAUGAAAAAAAGAAAGAAACUGCCACCACUACCUAGGGGGGCAUGCUCACUUUCUUCCCUGAGACCAAACACGUUAUAUGUUUUCAGCUGUAGUUUACUGCUUUGAAGGAGCGGCGUUAAGAUAACUUCUGUGUUUUCUUUGGUCAAGGUAUAUGGUUAUUAGAGGAAAAAUAUAGUAGAGGUAGUUUGAUAUUUAGAACAGGUAUCUAGUUAUUAGCUUCAGCAGUUUAUUUCGCAGAAGAAUAUGGGUAAUUAAUUGUGAUUGCUUUCUCCACCUAGUAUUACUGCAAGCUUGUGAUGCAAAGAGCACACCAGAUCCGGAUUGAAAUCACAGUUACUGUGCUAUAUCACAUUGCGACUUCAACCCAGAUCCUUGACUUUACCGUUUCUUUGCAACUUUUUUUUUUUUUUUGAAUGGAGUGUUUUGUAAAUCGUGGGGAAGGAGAGACAUAAAAUAAGAGAUAGUAUUUGGUUGAAUUGGGAUUAUAACUUAUUUAUCCCGGUAAGAGAGUUUUUGGUUUAAUUGGAGUACAAUUUAUUUGAUCCCUUCUCUCGCCCACUAAGAUUUGCCGAGUAGAGUUAAUUUGGUACUCUCUAUUCCAUAUUAACUGUAUUUUGAGGGUUUUUUCACUAUUCAAAAUAAUUGAAUAGAUCAAAAUUUUAGAUGGAUGUUUGAAAUUUUUUCCAUAUUUGCUUUUAUAUUUUGUAGGAGGUAAAUUACAUUACUUACAAAGUUAUAUUUAUGAUUUCACGAAGAAUAAUAGUGGAAAUUAUGAUUUAAAUCACAUUGAAUGUUUUUCUUAGUAUGUGUGCAUUGCUUCACAAAUUCAGUUAAGAGGUAGUAGGAAUCGGUUGGUUGGUCAAGAUACAGACAUUAUUAUCGAUAUAAAAGGAGGAUGUGGGUGUGGGUUAUCAUCUAGAUGACUAUUAAUGAGUUUCUUCUUAUUUUGUAGAAUGAAACUAGAAUCAGAGUUAUUGCUUGCGUUAACCCUAGACUGAAGGGUGCAUCACAGGCUGCAGAUAUUUGGAAAAAUAGGCCUUGUGUUGCGAGCUAAACAAUUCGCACAAGAAGACAGGCUGCAGAUAUUUGGAAUAUCUCGUUAGGAUUCCAGAUUUCAGUUUCAACUGUCACUAGGUUCUAAGCUUCUCUAUACUUGGGCAUUGGACAUUAAAAAAAAAUGAUAUUUGAAAGAAGGAAAGAAAAAGUUAAAAAAACGUUUUAGGAAUUGAAUUGUGUUUGAUAAUGCAUUUUACUUGAAAAAAGGUAUCGUACUUUUAAAUUAAGAUAUAUUACUUUAACAAAUAAGUACAAAUAUUAGAGAUUUAAUUAAUGAUCGUAUAUGAUUUAUAAUAUGUUGGUAUACAAUAUAAAUAACAAUAAAAUAAUCAAAAAGUAAUAUAAAGUAUAAAUAGUAAUUCUCUAAAUAUAAAAAAUGUGAUAGAGAACUACUUUUCACCUCUCUAUAAAUGGAUAAUAGAGAGGGUUGUAGAGCACAUUCUCUAUUUUACUCUCCAAGUAUAAAAAAAAUAGAGAGUAAAAUAAAGAGUAUGAUGAGAAGUUGUUCAUACAUGUGAUAACACUCCAUAGUUAAUAGUAAUAAAUUGAGUGUCUGCCACCAUUACAUUGUAGUUCAAAAUCAUAUUCGCAUCCAUAUUCUUGAUUCUUGAAGAAAAAGAUUCAUUCUUUUUGUAAAAAAUAGGGGUAGACCCUCAUGAGGUGAUGACAUUGUUAACUAUGAUGACAUUUACUGUAUUUCUUUACGACGGAAUAUAUUUGAUAGGGAAGGGAAGCAUUGUUUCUAUCACCCAGUAGUUUGUCCUAUACAACAGCUAAGCGGGUAAUAAAUUAUGUUCUAUACAUCGAUGAUUGCCACGCCAUCAUUUUUGGAGUUUUGUUGACCGGAGAAAGUUGGAUAUGCCAAAAGAAAUUUGCCCCUUUGCUGCUUCAGUGCUGACUGUAGUCUGUAUAAAUAGACCCCAUCCAUUCCAGCCUGUAAAAACCGCAACACGAGCCUUGUCAAUUUUUCUUUCUUCAGGGCACGGAACAUAUAUAAUGGAGUUCCCAAACUGUGUCAAAAAGUUUGUAUUUCGGUUUAGAGAGAGGAUUGGCCAUUACUUCCCAAGUAGCACUACAGUAGUAUCACCCAACUCCCCUAGUACUGUAGGUUUAUCCCUUGAAUCCUCCGCUAACACGGUGACACAACAAGCUGAGCUACAGGUGGAAUUGGAAGAGAGUAGCCCUGCUGCUGCUGAAACCAAUAAUUUCGAUAGGUCGAUGCUAUUCAUGGCAUUCUGUUUAACAUCAGGGGUUGAGAUAACUCUGUAUUCUCUACAAGCUGGAAACGGCGGGAGCCGUAAUCGUAAUCAUGAUCCUGACUCACUUCCUUUGUGUUUCCAAUUGUUGUCAUUUGCUAUUUUACUUGCUUUCACUUUACUCUUCGUGGGAAGAUUUAUAAGGAGCAAUUACCCGGCUGAAUCUGAAUUGCUAGAGCGGGCAGGUAUUUUAUUUGCCACUACAGCUUUCUACCAUGUCAUGACAAUGCCCUUUUCUCUAUUUUUCAAAGGUUGCUCUUGGGGCGUCUAUCUCUUCUCCUUGCUUGCUAUUGCUAUUUGCAACCAUUACUAAUGCGUUCUACAGUCUGCCACCACAAAAUUUUCUCUUUAGUUAUAUGUAUCUUUUUUUAAAAAAGUUAUUUGGAAGGGCAGAGAAAUUAAAUCGUGGUCAUAGUUUUUUUUUUAUAAUAAUGAGGACGGUUUUCUUUGGGUUAAUAAGAUUGUAUAGUUAACCUAUGUGGGAUAUUAUGAGCUAGUGGUUAUUUAUCGUUCUCAUAAGUUAUUGCAAAUAUAUAUCAUUUACCUCGCGUUUUAUAAAAGUUCUUUGCUUUUCGGUUAUCAAUUUUAUCAUCUGUUUAAACUCCUUAAAACUAAAAUUGGAUUUGAUUCGUCUCUUUCCGUACUUAUAUUUUAUUUAUUAUAACUAAAAAGUAUUCAGUCCAAGUUGAUUUGCCUCUCGCUGGGAUAUUCUUUAAUGGUUCAAAAAGCACAGUUUAAUAUGAAGCGUAGAGUGUUUUUUUUAAUGUUUGUUGAAUUCAAUAUAAUUAGUAAGCAUAAGAAAGGCAAUAAUAUCAACAAUAGCAUAUGUAGUAAAAUUCUACAAGGUGGGAAGGUAGAUUGUACACAACGUUAAUAAUGUUUUUUAAUAGAUAUUCUAGUCAAGUAGAAUUUCUCGAGAAAAAAAAAUACAGUAAGAAAUAUCAAUAGCAACAAGAAUCAAUAUGAAAUUCGAUGGAAAGAAAACAUCAAGUCUCCGGAAAAAAAUCCUUGGAUACUUGCACAUAAAUUCUUAUUAAAUACAGUAAAAUAAAAUCAUAAAAGGCACCACGAACACUCGCCGUACUAGUCAGCCCUUUAAAAAAAAGGCAAUAAGAUCCAGGUCCUAAUAUGACAUUAUUUAGUAAAAUAAAAAUCUAUUUGCUAAACGCCGUAAAAUAACAUGUGAAAUGCACUUGCUAUACGAGACAAAAUUAAUUCGGUCGGUGUGCAGAAAAUGUUACUAGUUCAUUUGCAACAAAAUAGCUACAAGUUUGAAUAAAUUGAACACAAGAAAAUAAUAUUUUUUAAAAGCGUUAAAUAUAUGUUAAUUUUUUUUUAUAACAAUUGAAAAUAAUUUUAUAAAAGCUUAAUACGACACACUAUUUCACUUAGGGAUUGACGUUUACAAAAUUAAAUUCAAAAUAGGAUAAAGGAUGUAAAGGCCACCAUAUACGUUUUCGCCGUCGGUAUCCGUAGGUAGGUAGCCUUGCUAUGUAUGUUUGAUGUUCACGCUGGCGAGCUUCCCCACGGCUGCUCCGGCGACGGUAGCGCCGUCGCUGGCGCCGAACUCCUGCUGCCGCCACCAGCCCCAAUUUCAAACAGUCAAAGUUAGUCCAAAACCCAACAAAUUACGGUCGUUUGCAACUACCUCCGUUCCAAAAUCGGCAGGUUCAAUUUGCACCCCACCACCUGAGGAAGAUUCUAUAACUGCAAAAUCAACUUUGAAGAAUCAGCUCAAGAACCCAUUAACGCUAUCCGAAGAGAUCACGCAACUGUGCGAAUCCAAAAGCUCGUCGGAAGUUUUCCGUACAUUUCAAGAAAACCUCGAAAAGGCCUUCUACCACUCGUCGGAAAAAUCCGAGGCCUUAGGCGUACUCUUACAGGCCUGUGGUAAACAAAAGGACAUUCAAACGGGUCGUAAAGUCCAUGAAAUGGUUACUUCUUUGACCCAAUUAAAAGAUGACGUUAUACUCUGUACGCGGCUCAUCUCAAUGUACUCCAUGUGUGGGUAUCCUUCCGAUUCUCUCUCUGUUUUCCAUCAAUUACGAAGCAAAAAACUGUAUCAAUGGAAUGUUCUUAUGAGUGGGUACACAAAGAAUGAACUUUGGGUUGAUGCUAUUUGUUUGUUUAUUGAGCUGAUGACUUCAACCGAGGAAAGGCCAGACAAUUUUACUUUUCCUUUGGUUAUUAAGGCUUGUGGAGGGGUUCUUGAUGUGGGUUUAGGGGAAGCUAUUCAUGGGAUGGCAUCAAAGAUGGGUUUGGUUAGCGAUGUCUUUGUAAGCAAUGCGUUAAUUUCCAUGUAUGGGAAGUUAAGUCUUGUUGAGGAAGCUAUGAAAGUGUUUGAGCAUAUGCCUGAGAGGAAUUUGGUUUCAAGCAACUCAAUGAUUUCUGGGUUCUCAGCGAAUGGGUAUAUUGAACAAAGUUUUGAUCUUUUCAGAAAUAUAUUUACAGGGGAUGAAGUUCUUGUUCCAGACACGACUACCGUGGUUAUUAUGCUGCCAAUUUGUGCAGCAGCAGAAGAAGUGGAAUUCGGGAAGAUUAUUCAUGGUUUAGCUGUAAAGCUAGGAUUAGCUGACGAGUUAACAGUGAAAAAUUCUUUAGUGGAUAUGUAUUGCAAAGUUGGAUACUUUUCUAAUGCACAAAUUCUGUUUGAGAAAAAUGAGAGCAAAAAUGUGGUCUCUUGGAACUCCAUUAUCGGGGGUUAUUCAGGAGAAGGAGAUGAUAGAGGAACAUUUCAUCUUAUGAGAAGGAUGCAAAGUACCGAUGAGUAUGUGAAGGUGAAUGAGGUUACUCUAUUGAAUGUUUUGCCUGUGUGCCAAGAGGAGUCAGAGCAGUUGAUAGUGAAAGAACUGCAUGGCUACUCACUUAGAAAUGGUCUUGAAUACCAUGAGUUGUUAACAAAUGCUUUUAUUGCUGCCUAUGCAAAGUGUGGAUUUCUCAGAUAUGCUGAGCUUGUAUUCUAUGGAGUGGCAAAUAAGACAGUAAGCUCUUGGAAUGCACUGAUAAGUGGCUAUGCUCAGAAUGAGGAUCCAUCGAAGACUUUGACUUUGUCCUCUGAAAUGAUGGAUUCUGGCUUGCUUCCUGACUGGUUCACUAUUGGUAGCCUUCUGUUUGCUUGUUCCCACUUAAAACUGCUACAUUGUGGUACACUAAUUCACGGUUUUGUGCUUAGAAAUGGUCUAGAAACAGAUAUGUCUACACUAGUUUCCCUAGUUUCAUUCUACAUGACUUGUGGAAAAUCUGAGCUAGCACAACGUCUGUUUGACAGGAUAGAAGAUAAAAAUGUUGUAUCCUGGAACGUGAUGAUAGCUGGUUAUUUGCAGAAUGCACUACCAGAUAAAGCCUUUUGUCUGCUUCGCGAUAUGGUAUCUCAUAGAUUUCAACCUGAUGAAAUUUCUGUGACAAGUGUUUUAGGGGCUUGUUCAACAUUGUCUGCUGCCAGGCUGGGGAAAGAAGUUCACUGCUUUGCACUGAAAUCCAACCUUAUAGAGGAUAGUUUUGUCCAUUGCUCAAUCAUAGACAUGUAUGCAAAAUCUGGAUUCAUAGAAAUGUCCAAGUAUGUUUUUGACCAUAUUCCACUCAAAGAUAUAGCAUCAUGGACAGCUAUGAUUACUGGAUAUGCAGUUCAUGGACUUGGAAUGGAGGCCAUCAAGCUAUUUCAGGAAAUGCAGAAAUCGGGCUUCAGCCCUGCCAGCUUGACGUAUGUCUCUAUUUUAAUGGCAUGUAACCAUGCGGGACUCAUUGAAGAAGGUCGACAAUAUGUUAAAGAGAUGCAGACAUUGCAUGGUCUAAAACCUGAAUUGGAGCAUUAUGCAUGCGUGAUUGACAUGCUGGCUCGUGCUGGACAGUUUGAUGAUGCCCUAAAUCUCAUGGCUGAGAUGCCUAUGCAGCCAGAUACUCAAAUUUGGUGUUCGUUGCUCAAUUCAUGUAUAGUUCACGCCCAGUCAAAUCUUGGGAAGAAAUGUGCUAACAAGUUACUGGAAUUAGAACCAAAAAGAGCAGAAAUUUAUGUUUUAGUAUCCAAUUUUUUUGCUAGAUAUGGGGACUGGGACUCUGUUAGACAAGUGAGGGACAAGAUGAAGGAAUUAGGCUUGCAAAAAGAAAUUGGCUGCAGUCAGAUUGAAAUAGGAGGAAAAAGCUAUAACUUUGUUGUUGGCAAUAUGUUUUCCAAGCCAUAAGAGCUCUAGUGAAGUUUGAUGUGACCAAAUGGAAACAAGUGAAUUGGUUAACACCCGAGAUAUUUUUGAAGGGGUUUGUAGUGGAGAUAAAUUUCUCAGUUUUUCUAAUAAGUUGUUAAAACUGCAGGUUUCUGUUGUUGAGCUGUCAAGGCCAUCCGCGUCCUUACCGGAAAUUUUGAGCGGCAUAGGAAGCUAUUUAGCCGGAGCAGAUAGAACAUUAAAAGAGUUGCUAAAUGAUGUGGCAUCAUCUGAUGGGAUCCAAGCCCGUAUGGACGGGUCAUGUUUGAGAAAUUAGGAGGAGCCGCUUACACCAAUCCCCUGUUUAUGUUGAUAAAAGAUUGCCUCAGUUCCUUCUAAAGUCAAAGGCUGUAUGCUGUUGUAUCAGAAAUAUCUCAUUUUAUU